rnacentral:rRNA from 1 species
GAUGAACGCUGGCGGCGUGCCUAAUACAUGCAAGUCGAGCGAACAGAUAAGGAGCUUGCUCCUUUGACGUUAGCGGCGGACGGGUGAGUAACACGUGGGUAACCUACCUAUAAGACUGGAAUAACUCCGGGAAACCGGGGCUAAUGCCGGAUAACAUUUAGAACCGCACGGUUCUAAAGUGAACGAUGGUUUUGCUAUCACUUAUAGAUGGACCCGCGCCGUAUUAGCUAGUUGGUAAGGUAACGGCUUACCAAGGCAACGAUACGUAGCCGACCUGAGAGGGUGAUCGGCCACACUGGAACUGAGACACGGUCCAGACUCCUACGGGAGGCAGCAGUAGGGAAUCUUCCGCAAUGGGCGAAAGCCUGACGGAGCAACGCCGCGUGAGUGAUGAAGGUCUUCGGAUCGUAAAACUCUGUUAUUAGGGAAGAACAAAUGUGUAAGUAACUGUGCACGUCUUGACGGUACCUAAUCAGAAAGCCACGGCUAACUACGUG